ACGAACGCUGGCGGCGUGCUUAACACAUGCAAGUCGAACGCUGAAGCCUCUUCGGGGGUGGAUGAGUGGCGAACGGGUGAGUAACACGUGGGUGACCUGCCCUCCACUCUGGGAUAAGCCUGGGAAACUGGGUCUAAUACCGGAUAUGACCUGCGGUCGCAUGGUUGUGGGUGGAAAGUUUUUUCGGUGGGGGAUGGGCCCGCGGCCUAUCAGCUUGUUGGUGGGGUGAUGGCCUACCAAGGCUUCGACGGGUAGCCGGCCUGAGAGGGCGUCCGGCCACACUGGGACUGAGACACGGCCCAGACUCCUACGGGAGGCAGCAGUGGGGAAUAUUGCGCAAUGGGCGGAAGCCUGACGCAGCGACGCCGCGUGGGGGAUGACGGCCUUCGGGUUGUAAACCUCUUUCGACCUCGACGAAGCUUUUCGGAGUGACGGUAGGGGUGGAAGAAGCACCGGCCAACUACGUGCCAGCCGCCGCGGUAAGAC
rnacentral:rRNA from 1 species